GGCUCCGUAGCUUGGAGGAAAGAAGCGCCCGUCUUACGAACUGGGAGGCUUGGGUUCGAUUCCCACUGGAGCAU
rnacentral:tRNA from 1 species